UUUAAUUGCCACAAAAUAUUGUUAUUAGUUAUGUUGAAAGAUGACAUUGAAAAAUGUAGAUAUAUCUAUUGUAUGUAGUGGGUCUGGUUACUCACACAAACGGGAAAAGACGAGUUUUUACCGAACCAGCAUUAAUACCAAACAAUACUUCAUUACUCCUAAGAAGUAUCUACUACCGUUAGUAACCAGCAUUGUUUAUUCGCGUAUACACAAGUUAUAUGACCUGGACGUCGUCAUGUCCAAUCAUUCGCUAUUUACCGUUUUGCUCUUUUCGUUAUCAAUAUUUGUUUACAUUAAGUACUGUCUCUGUAUAUCAGUCUUAUCUAACGAACUACAUGAGUUCAGGUUCGAUAACGCUACCAGCUUGUUGUUCCAGUAUAUCUACGAUGCUUUUGUUUUACCUGGUUCCAAAAUUGUCAUCUAGUCACGACCACACGGUUCACAACGAUAUGAGCUUUUCUCACCAGCAGUUUUCCCAAUGAUGGUGUAUUUUUUGUUUUUGCGUUAUCAAAUUGGUUUUCCGUUACAUGUUAAAGUUACAAUCUACGUAAAAUCAAUGACCUAUUCGAACCGCAUUAAACAAAUUGUUUAUAACAGCAAAUAAAUAUGCUUGCUCGAUUGUUCUGAAAAGUGUCGCUGUUAGAAAGAAAAUUAAGUAUUAAUGUUACAUUUUAUACUUCUCCAGCAUAUCAAAUACACUGGGGUAUUUUGGCAAACAAAAGUUGAGUUCACAAUGAUAUGAGCUUUUCUCGCCAGCAGUUUUCACAAUGAUGGUGUAUUUUUUGUUUUUGCGUCAUCAGAUGGGUUUUCCGUUAUACGUUAAGUACAUCUACGUAAAAUCAAUGACCCCUUCGAAUCGCUUUAAACCAAUUAUUUAUAACGGCAAAUAAACAUAGUAAUUUAUGUAAAAUAUUUUUUAAAAAAAUUAUAUGUAUUUUCAAUGCCUAAACUAUACAUAAUAAUUUGUGAUAUUGAAUAAUAUUAAAAUGAAUAUUUGUAAUUAUUAAUUAGUUAAAACUUUGUACUUUUUUUAAAA